rnacentral:lncRNA from 1 species
UGUGAGGUGCAUUAAAGAUUUCCUAGUAAGAGGUUGGAUUUUGUUAUAGAAGUGAUAAGAAGAAUUAUCUUAGAGAGGAGUAGUUAGGACAAUGCUUGGGGUAUUGAAUUCAUAGUUCAAACUAGUAUUAUAGUGUUAUGUGCAGUACCUCGUGAUUCUGAGUUAGGCUUGACCUUGAUGAGAGGAUUUACUUCAAUUUAGACUUUAGUAGAUGGAUUUAUCGAUGCC